rnacentral:rRNA from 1 species
UAACCUGCCCAAGAGAUCGGGAUAACACCUGGAAACAGAUGCUAAUACCGGAUAACAACAGAUGAUGCCUAUCAACUGUUUAAAAGAUGGUUCUGCUAUCACUNUUGGAUGGACCUGCGGUGCAUUAGCUAGUUGGUAGGGUAACGGCCUACCAAGGCGAUGAUGCAUAGCCGAGUUGAGAGACUGAUCGGCCACAUUGGGACUGAGACACGGCCCAAACUCCUACGGGAGGCAGCAGCG